CUGGCAGAGCUGGAAGGGUUGGUGCUGAGCAGGCAGGUGUUUCACAGCAGCAGAACUUGACAUUGUCCAGGCUGUAAAGAAGAUGAACAAUUGCAUUUGCAGAAGCAAUUUGGGAGAGCGUCAAAGCUGUCAGCACAACCCCAGGUGUCUUUCACUGUGUGUGUUCAUGUACAGAAGCUUUUCAUUUUGAAGGAAUACAGGUGAAGAUCACAGCUUUUCUCAUCACUUGAAAGAGGCAGUUGUAACAGAGUAACAACACAGUCAUCUCCACAGAAAAUA